AGUGAACGCUGGCGGUAGGCCUAACACAUGCAAGUCGAACGGCAGCACAGUAAGAGCUUGCUCUUACGGGUGGCGAGUGGCGGACGGGUGAGGAAUACAUCGGAAUCUACUUUUUCGUGGGGGAUAACGUAGGGAAACUUACGCUAAUACCGCAUACGACCUACGGGUGAAAGCAGGGGAUCUUCGGACCUUGCGCGAUUGAAUGAGCCGAUGUCGGAUUAGCUAGUUGGCGGGGUAAAGGCCCACCAAGGCGACGAUCCGUAGCUGGUCUGAGAGGGUGAUCGGCCACAUUGGAACUGAGACACGGUCCAGACUCCUACGGGAGGCAGCAGUGGGGAAUAUUGCACAAUGGGCGAAAGCCUGAUGCAGCAACGCCGCGUGAGCGAUGAAGGCCUUCGGGUUGUAAAGCUCUGUCUUCGCUGACGAAAUCUGACGGUAAGCGAGGAGAAAGCCACGGCUAACUACGUG
rnacentral:rRNA from 1 species